GAGAAGUGGGUAUGUACUUAUACCAUUCAUAACUUUUCAAUUCUCUUUAAGCAACUUGUCGUUUCUUUUUGUUAAAUAUGAAAAGAAAUGUGUGUUCUCUUAUGGGUGUCACAGGUGUGAAGAAGGACUGAUUUCCUACCAUCUAUUCUUGAAAUGGGUUAUACGACUCUGUUUCACGAUUGCGCAGAAUGAUAGGUGAUAUGGAUUUCGUUAAUGCAGACAAAUCAACAAAUAACCGUGAUCGAAGCCUAUUCUUGUAAACUGUUGGAACACUUGGCAUCCAAGAACCUAGCGGUUAAACUGUGUUGAGGAUUUUCGACUAUGAGAGACUUGAGACUUAGUUAGACAUAAAAUAAUUAUUUUGUUUGCUGACUACAUGAUAUGCGAUCGUCGUAUUGUUGGAUAGUUUUGUAUUUAAAGAAUUUCCGUUUACUUUAAAUUGUAUUGAAUAUAAAUUUAUUGGAAAUUUGAUUUCUCUGUA